AGUGAACGCUGGCGGUAGGCCUAACACAUGCAAGUCGAACGGCAGCACAGUAAGAGCUUGCUCUUACGGGUGGCGAGUGGCGGACGGGUGAGGAAUACAUCGGAAUCUACUUUUUCGUGGGGGAUAACGUAGGGAAACUUACGCUAAUACCGCAUACGACCUACGGGUGAAAGCAGGGGAUCUUCGGACCUUGCGCGAUUGAAUGAGCCGAUGUCGGAUUAGCUAGUUGGCGGGGUAAAGGCCCACCAAGGCGACGAUCCGUAGCUGGUCUGAGAGGAUGAUCAGCCACACUGGAACUGAGACACGGUCGAGACUCCUACGGGAGGCAGCAGUGGGGAAUAUUGGACAAAGGGCGCAAGCCUGAUCCAGCCAUACCGCGUGGGUGAAGAAGGCCUUCGGGUUGUAAAGCCCUUUUGUUGGGAAAGAAAAGCAGCAGGUUAAUACCCCGCUGUUCUGACGGUACCCAAAGAAUAAGCACCGGCUAACUUCGUG
rnacentral:rRNA from 1 species